rnacentral:tRNA from 1 species
GCCAGUGUGGUUAAGUGGAUAAACAUUGGCCCACGCACUGAAGGGUCAUGGGUUCGAUUCCCAGUCAAGGGCA